GCCGGGUGCUGUGGCGCGUGCCUGUAAUCCAAGUUACCGGGAGGUGAGACUGGUGGAUCGUUUGAGCUCAGGAUCUCUGAGCUGCAGUGGACUAUGUCGAUCGGGUGUCCCAAUAAGUUCGGUAUCGAUAUGGUGCUCCUGGGGGAGGCCGGGACCACCAGGUCGUCUAAGGAGGGUGCACCGGCCCAGGUCGGAAACGGAGCAGGCCAAAGCCCCCGUGCGCUCAGUAGUGGGAUCGCGCCUGUGAAUAGAGGCUGUAGUGAAGCCUGAGUAAUACAGCGGGACCCAGUCUUUU
rnacentral:SRP_RNA from 1 species